GCCUACGGGGGGCAGCAGUGGGGAAUAUUGCGCAAUGGGCGAAAGCCUGACGCAGCGACGCCGCGUGAGGGAUGAAGGUCUUCGGAUCGUAAACCUCUGUCAGCAGGGAAGAACGGUCACUGUGCUAAUCAGCAGUGAAUUGACGGUACCUGCAAAGGAAGCACCGGCUAACUCCGUGCCAGCAGCCGCGGUAAUACGGAGGGUGCGAGCGUUAAUCGGAAUUACUGGGCGUAAAGCGCUCGUAGGCGGUAUGUCAAGUCAAGGGUGAAAUCCCCGCGCUCAACGUGGGAACUGCCCUUGAAACG
rnacentral:rRNA from 1 species